rnacentral:rRNA from 1 species
CGGCGGACGGGUGAGUAACGCGUGGGUAAUCUGCCUCAUACAGGGGGAUAACAGUUAGAAAUGACUGCUAAUACCGCAUAAGCGCACAGGACCGCAUGGUCCGGUGUGAAAAACUCCGGUGGUAUGAGAUGGACCCGCGUCUGAUUAGCUGGUUGGCGGGGUAACGGCCCACCAAGGCGACGAUCAGUAGCCGACCUGAGAGGGUGGCCGGCCACAUUGGGACUGAGACACGGCCCAAACUCCUACGGGAGGCAGCAG